rnacentral:lncRNA from 1 species
AGCUGGAAUUACAGGUACGUGCCACCACUCCCAGGGGGCAAUUGGCAGAAAUGUCUAUCAAGGCGAAUGUGAAUGUUUUGGGGAAAACGUCAAAGUCCAACAGGGAUGGAAUCCGUGGCAAAGUGGCGACCCAGAACAGGGACUUGAGGACGUUGCAAAGUGGCUUCUGAACACAGAGACCGGAGGACGUGAACGAAGAAGGUCGGCUGGAGCAGAGGAACCGAAAACGACAAGAUGAAUGGGGACCCCGAGACAAGCCUGCCAGCAGCGGAUAUAAGGCAGGCACUCUUGAUGUGGAAAACUGGAACAGAGCGGGAGAAGGAUUGAAACAUGCUCAUCAAAAAGGUGAUCUGAAAUACAUGAAGAUGUCAAAACUUGAAAAAGCCGAGUGAAAGGCAUAGCGUUUAUAUUUGUUUCUACAAACCUCUUUGCAUGCUUCGUAAUAAAAAAGCAAAGCCAAAAUUCAGAGCGACAACCAAUGUGCCACAUGCCCUUUGCAGUGGGCUGGCUUCCCUGGUUACAGCAACCCUCUCAUCUCUGCAGAGAAUGGAAACCAGAGUGGUCAUGGCCUUGGAGCUGAAUCUUGUGACUUUCACCUUCUUCCCACAUUUGUCCAAACCUCUUGUCCCUGCUCUUCAGGUCCUUGUGUGAUGUGACCCAGCUGACACCCUAGCCCCAGAUGACUGCCCCUGAAUUAGUCUCAGCUUCUCCAACCUGUUCCCUUAUCCUCUAUUCUUGCAUGUGCUGAUACCGUAUUGAGAACGUUCUUUAAUGUUAUUUAUCUCCUCUGGAAUAAUUCUGACUCCCUCCUCAAGCAUCACCUCCUCCAGGAAGCCCUCUCGGAUCCUCCAGGCUCAGCCAGUGUCUCCAGUGGUCCUCACAGUCUCCUGUACUUCCCAAGCUCAUCAUAUUGUCUUCAAAUUCCGUGGUUACAUGUUCCCCACUCGCCUGAGAAACAGGCCUCCCUUCCUUGUCCUGGGCCAGGGAUAGAUGUGGAGGUCUGCUGCCUCCUUCUAGGACCUCUCUUCCGCUCUCAGUUACCCCGCAGCGAGGUCUGGGCACAGGACAUUGAUGGGCAGCCUUCUGGCUUCCUCACUAAGCUGGACAGCUCCGCCCUGGCUCGCCAAGGCAGCUUCAGCCACAGGUGUAUCCAGCAGAGCCUCUAUCUCCUCCAUAAGGUCUGAUGAAACACUGCCAUCUAAAUCCUUUCCCCAGAACACAUUCCUAUGGUUGCCCUGGACAGAGAUUGUGCAAUCCUUGCAGUUUUUCUGAUUUCCUCCCUUUGAGCACCUGUCCCUAAAAGCCUCAGAAUGAAGAGGGCGUGCCCUCCAAAAAGUUCCUGCCCUACGGUUAAGCCUGCUGCUAAGUCAGCUUUCAGCGCUCCGUUUCUGAUGAUGAAAGCAAGAUGAGUCAGAUGGUUUGGGAACAAGGGAACUUCUAGAAAGAAGAGUCUAGGAAGCUAAGUUUUGUUAACCCUUCAGCGUCUCCUAAGCACUGCUAACUUUUAAUGUUUAACCCUUCCUCCUCCCUCUGUACCAUAGACAUCCAUUCUGAUGUGUUUGAUACAUGCCCUUACAUUAGUUUUUUAAGGAAAAUAUGCUUACAUUUGCCUUUCUUAUUGCUAUAAAUUUAUGGGGUACAGGUGUAAUUUUGUUGCAUGCAUAGAUUUCAUAGUAGUGAAGUCAUAUCCUUAAUAUUUAUACAUACUUGGAGUGUGUGUGUAUGUGUGUGUGUGUGUGUGUGUGUGUGUGUUAUUGAAUCAAAUCAUUUCUGCUUCUCCCAGCUCUAGGCUACUAAGAAUCUGGACUGCUGCUGCCUGUACAACUAGUUGAUUACGAUUUGUUUCAUGUGUGUACUCACUACACUUUACUUACUCUUUGCCUGCUCAGGGUCUUGUAGGUUACCCCCAACUCUGCUACUGUAAACAACACUGUGUUGAACAUCCUUGUAAAUGCCCUUGGAGAAACCUUCUCUAAAAAGUAUCUCUUUUUAAAAUAUCAGAGGGUAUAUGCCACCUGUAUUUCACUACAUACUUCCAGACUGUUUUCCAAAUUACUGAACUAAUUUAUACUUCCACCAGCAGUGAGCAACAGUUCCCACUUCCUCACAUCUUCACCAACACUUAAUACUAUGCAUCUUUUUAAUGGUUGCAUUUUAAUUGGUAUAAGGUUGUACCUCAUUAUUUUUUCUACAAUUAAGUAGACAUUAAACUUUC